rnacentral:rRNA from 1 species
UACGUAGGGGCGAGCGUUGUCCGGAAUUACUGGGCGUAAAGGGCGCGCAGGCGGUUAUGUUAGUCUGCUGUGAAAAGCAUCGGCUUAACCGGUGUCUUGCGGCGGAUACUGCAUAGCUUGAGUACUGGAGAGGAAAGUGGAAUUCCUAGUGUAGCGGUGAAAUGCAUAGAGAUUAGGAGGAACACCAGUGGCGAAGGCGGCUUUCUGGACAGUAACUGACGCUGAGGCGCGAAAGCGUGGGGAGCAAACAGGAUUAGAUACCCCCGUA